rnacentral:rRNA from 2 species
AGAGUUUGAUCAUGGCUCAGAUUGAACGCUGGCGGCAGGCCUAACACAUGCAAGUCGAACGGUAACAGGAAGCAGCUUGCUGCUUCGCUGACGAGUGGCGGACGGGUGAGUAAUGUCUGGGAAACUGCCUGAUGGAGGGGGAUAACUACUGGAAACGGUGGCUAAUACCGCAUAACGUCGCAAGACCAAAGAGGGGGACCUUCGGGCCUCUUGCCAUCAGAUGUGCCCAGAUGGGAUUAGCUUGUUGGUGAGGUAACGGCUCACCAAGGCGACGAUCCCUAGCUGGUCUGAGAGGAUGACCAGCCACACUGGAACUGAGACACGGUCCAGACUCCUACGGGAGGCAGCAGUGGGGAAUAUUGCACAAUGGGCGCAAGCCUGAUGCAGCCAUGCCGCGUGUAUGAAGAAGGCCUUCGGGUUGUAAAGUACUUUCAGCGGGGAGGAAGGUGUUGUGGUUAAUAACCACAGCAAUUGACGUUACCCGCAGAAGAAGCACCGGCUAACUCCGUGCCAGCAGCCGCGGUAAUACGGAGGGUGCAAGCGUUAAUCGGAAUUACUGGGCGUAAAGCGCACGCAGGCGGUCUGUCAAGUCGGAUGUGAAAUCCCCGGGCUCAACCUGGGAACUGCAUUCGAAACUGGCAGGCUUGAGUCUUGUAGAGGGGGGUAGAAUUCCAGGUGUAGCGGUGAAAUGCGUAGAGAUCUGGAGGAAUACCGGUGGCGAAGGCGGCCCCCUGGACAAAGACUGACGCUCAGGUGCGAAAGCGUGGGGAGCAAACAGGAUUAGAUACCCUGGUAGUCCACGCCGUAAACGAUGUCUACUUGGAGGUUGUGCCCUUGAGGCGUGGCUUCCGGAGCUAACGCGUUAAGUAGACCGCCUGGGGAGUACGGCCGCAAGGUUAAAACUCAAAUGAAUUGACGGGGGCCCGCACAAGCGGUGGAGCAUGUGGUUUAAUUCGAUGCAACGCGAAGAACCUUACCUGGUCUUGACAUCCACGGAAGUUUUCAGAGAUGAGAAUGUGCCUUCGGGAACCGUGAGACAGGUGCUGCAUGGCUGUCGUCAGCUCGUGUUGUGAAAUGUUGGGUUAAGUCCCGCAACGAGCGCAACCCUUAUCCUUUGUUGCCAGCGGUCCGGCCGGGAACUCAAAGGAGACUGCCAGUGAUAAACUGGAGGAAGGUGGGGAUGACGUCAAGUCAUCAUGGCCCUUACGACCAGGGCUACACACGUGCUACAAUGGCGCAUACAAAGAGAAGCGACCUCGCGAGAGCAAGCGGACCUCAUAAAGUGCGUCGUAGUCCGGAUUGGAGUCUGCAACUCGACUCCAUGAAGUCGGAAUCGCUAGUAAUCGUGGAUCAGAAUGCCACGGUGAAUACGUUCCCGGGCCUUGUACACACCGCCCGUCACACCAUGGGAGUGGGUUGCAAAAGAAGUAGGUAGCUUAACCUUCGGGAGGGCGCUUACCACUUUGUGAUUCAUGACUGGGGUGAAGUCGUAACAAGGUAACCGUAGGGGAACCUGCGGUUG